AUGGUGAACUCGGCGAAGCCGCCGCCUGCGACUUUCCCAUCGGAUCUCACCAAGGAAGGUGGUGCUAGGGAGGCGGGUGGCGGGGCCGCGGAGGUAGAUCCAACGCCGUCGAGUGCCCACCGAGGGAGGCUGAUGUCGCUGCCAUCAAUGCUCAAGCCCUGGGGGAGCCAACGGCGGCUGCGGUGCGUUCCCGUCAACCACCAUGGUGAAACCAUCGCCCCGGACACGGGAUCCUCCUCGAAUCAGCAAUAUGAGGUCAGCGAGAGGCUACAGCUUCACCUUGGCAAGGUGGCAAAGGCAUCGGGCACUAGCAACCCCGCAGUCGACAAGUACCCUAAGGUCACCGAGGCGGUUUCUCCACAGCCGUUGAAGGCACGCCCUGGCCGCCCGCGUCGCCUUGCUAUGCCAUCCCUCGCGGCCACGACCGCCGCGAGUGCGUCGCCGCAGGCGUUCGAGCGCGAGCGGCGGUCGGUCCGCGCAAAUGCGCUAAAGAGGCCGCAAUUCUCCGUAUCACUCUCCGCGGAGGAGAUUGAGGAAGACAUCUACGGCCUCACCGGCGCACUCCCGCGUAACCGCCCUCGCGGUCGGCCCCGCAAAGUGCAAAAGCAGAUCGAUCUGCUAUUUCCCGGCGCGCGGUUAUCGCAGAUCAACAUGGAGUCCUACCGGGUGCCGGAGAAUCGCUGA
rnacentral:rRNA from 1 species